UUUAAGUGCAACCAUGAGUUUCCGUGCCUAACUUUGAUCAUUUGUCUUAUUUAAUUUUUUUUUGUAAUUAGUAUUUUUAUAAUUAUUAUUAGAUGAUAAAACAUGAAUAGUACUUUAUGCGUGACUAAUGUUUUUGAUUUUUUUUAAAAAAAUUCAAAUAAGACGGACGAUCAAAAUUGAGCACAGAAAAUCAUGGCUGCAUUUAAA
rfam:Oryza barthii chromosome 2, whole genome shotgun sequence.